AGAUAAUUGAAAGGAAUGUAGGACAUGAUAUUGGAUAGACUUCGGAGUUUUUCAUUAAGUAAAUAAAUCAGAUUUACGUGUCAGGUAAGUUUAUUGGAAUAUAAUUUUUUUUAAAAGAUGUGGUAUGAUGACCAAUUAGACAUAUCUCAACCAGAGAGGAAAUGACUUAGAAGGUAACAACUAUAGGUCACCUUACAGUCUUCAACAAUAAACAAAACCCAUACCGCAAAUAAGCAAUAAAUGACCACCAAAAUGGCAAUUCUCUGUUUAAAAUGGCAGCUGACACUUUCAAAGCAGAAAAAAUUCAUCCUCAAGAAAACUGCGUUGUAUAGAAUCAAUCCAGAUGUUGCUGAUAGGUUGUUUGCUGUAUUAGUUUAAGUUUCCUGUUUUUGAUAUACUUCUUUUUAUUAUCAAUUCAAUUGUCUUGUUGAAUCUAAUUUUCAUCUUCCGCGUUUUGUUCUUAUGGCUGCAUUCUGAUUUCAGUAAUAACGCAGUGUUAACUUUUUUUUUGUAAAUGUCCUUGAGUCGUAUAUAUAUAUUUUUUGAAGAUUUAAAUGUAUACCUUAUUUUCAGAUCCAUCCAUCCAUCCAUGAUCCUUCAAUCAAUCAAUUAAUCAAUCAUUAAAAUAUUAAAGAUGUUUGCAAAAAGAGUAGAAAUUAAUAAAAUUGAGAAUGGAAAUGGGGAAUGUGACAAAAAACAACAACCCGGCCAAAGAGCAGAAAACAGCAGAAGGCCACCAAUGGAUCUUCAACACAGCGAGAAAAUCCCGCAACCGGAGGUGCAGCUGGCCCCUAAACAAAGAUGUGUACUAGUUCAGUAAUAAUGGCCGUCAUACUAAACUCCGAAAUAAAUAAAUAUUGAAAUCAAAAUUCAAACAAGACUAAAAAGACAUGCUUCUAAUGAGUAAAUCAGAGCGAGGAGUUUAUUACUAAGCCUUGUCAUGGAGAUUGCCAUUGUGAAAUAACAGCCUGCAUUCUGUAGUACUACAAAAAUUAUCAUGAUGUGAUCACAAACUGAUAUGGAGAUACGCAUAUUCUGUACUUUUCUUUGAUAGGUUUCUAUUAUGAUUUUUGAUGUCGUUUAUAUCUGAUCAUUCAAUAAAUUUCCAAUUUACUUCAACCG
rnacentral:lncRNA from 1 species